rnacentral:rRNA from 1 species
GAUGAACGCUGGCGGCGUGCCUAAUACAUGCAAGUCGAGCGAACGGACGAGAAGCUUGCUUCUCUGAUGUUAGCGGCGGACGGGUGAGUAACACGUGGAUAACCUACCUAUAAGACUGGGAUAACUUCGGGAAACCGGAGCUAAUACCGGAUGAUAUUUUGAACCGCAUGGUUCAAAAGUGAAAGACGGUCUUGCUGUCACUUAUAGAUGGAUCCGCGCUGCAUUAGCUAGUUGGUAAGGUAACGGCUUACCAAGGCAACGAUGGAUAGCCGACCUGAGAGGGUGAUCGGCCACACUGGAACUGAGACACGGUCCAGACUCCUACGGGAGGCAGCAGUAGGGAAUCUUCCGCAAUGGGCGAAAGCCUGACGGAGCAACGCCGCGUGAGUGAUGAAGGUCUUCGGAUCGUAAAACUCUGUUAUUAGGGAAGAACAUAUGUGUAAGUAACUGUGCACAUCUUGACGGUACCUAAUCAGAAAGCCACGGCUAACUACGUG